CCACCACCAACCUGUGUCGUGCAAGCAGGUUAACACUUUCUCUCUCAUCUGACCUGACCCUUGGAGGGUUCUUCCUGUUUCCAGAUCUUAGAGUCAACCUGAGAAGAACAUGGGUCUGAUCCAAUACUCAGAUAAACAUUUUGAUGAUACCUACGAAUACAGGCACUUUGUCCUCCCACCGAGAAUCAGCUUCUGAAUGAGGCAAACUAAUUCACAGAAAUUCAAGAAUUAGGUUAAAGUUUCAUGAGAAUGACCCAUUCAAAGACAAAAUCCAGUUAUCUGAAUUUCAAACUCCAGAAAUGAAAGAUUCGAAGUCACAUAAGAGAUUAGGCAAUAUGCAACUCCCAAAGGAAACAUGCAAAAAAUUAACAAUGUCCACCCAGAUGUAUGGAAAGCAAGAAAAUAACGAGGAACAAAGAGUAAAAACCCGAAGUCCCUCACCUGUUACAGAUGACCAGAGCACACUAAAAAAGCUGAAGCGUAUUCAACAAUACGAACACUUAUCAUAGAGUUUUACUUCGAGCAUUAUCUUUUAAUGCACAAAAGCCCUAGGGCUCUGGAGGUACUGAAACAUGUCAAUACCCAAUUGGUUGUUGUUCGUUGCUCUUUGCUUGAGAUAGCUAAACCAGUUGAUGUGCAUUGUAGAGGGAAGAUAGAGGCACUGAUGAUUAGUUAUUACAAGGAAAAUAAAUACAUUCAAAUAGCUUAAACUAUAAGGUUGAAAUUCUAUCUAUUUUCCUCUCAGUCUUUCGGUCAUCAGUCAUAGUGCAAGGAGCAUAUGGUGAUGAUUAUGUUCAAAUUAAA